ACUGCGAAUGGCUCAUUAAAUCAGUUAUCGUUUAUUUGAUAGUACCUUACUACAUGGAUAACCGUGGUAAUUCUAGAGCUAAUACAUGCUGAAAAUCCCGACUUCGGAAGGGAUGUAUUUAUUAGAUUAAAAACCAAUGCCCUUCGGGGCUCCUUGGUGAUUCAUAAUAACUUCUCGAAUCGCACGGCCUUGCGCCGGCGAUGGUUCAUUCAAAUUUCUGCCCUAUCAACUUUCGACGGCUGGGUCUUGGCCAGCCAUGGUGACAACGGGUAACGGAGGGUUAGGGCUCGACCCCGGAGAAGGAGCCUGAGAAACGGCUACUACAUCCAAGGAAGGCAGCAGGCGCGCAAAUUACCCAAUCCCGACUCGGGGAGGUAGUGACAAUAAAUACUGAUACAGGGCUCUUUUGGGUCUUGUAAUUGGAAUGAGUACAAUUUAAAUCCCUUAACGAGGAACAAUUGGAGGGCAAGUCUGGUGCCM
rnacentral:rRNA from 1 species